GACGAACGCUGGCGGCGUGCCUAAUACAUGCAAGUCGAGCGGUGCGAACGAGUACUUGUACCAGCUUGGUCAGCGGCGGACGGGUGAGUAACACGUGGGCAACCUGCCUGCAAGACGGGGACAACUUCGGGAAACCGGUGCUAAUACCGGAUAACACCUAAGACCGCAUGGUCUUCGGUUGAAAGGCGCCCUUUCAGCACUCACUUGUGAUUCCGCGCGCGGUGCGUUAGUUAGUUGGUGAGGUACUGGCUCACCAAGGCGACGAUACCUAGCCGGCCUGAGAGGGUGACCGGCCACAUUGGGACUGAGACACGGCCCAGACUCCUACGGGAGGCAGCAGUAGGGAAUCUUCGGCAAUGGGCGAAAGCCUGACCGAGCAACGCCGCGUGAGUGAAGAAGGUUUUCGGGUCGUAAAGCUCUGUUGUGAGAGACGAAGGAGGGCGGGUCGAGAAGGGCGGCGAAGUGACGGUACCUAACGAGAAAGCCACGGCUAACUACGUG
rnacentral:rRNA from 1 species